AUUCCAAACAAAUAGUGGCGGUCACUGGUUCCCCUAGUAACUUCCAACUGUUGACCGCGCCACCUAUCGGACUCUAUUUUGAAACAGAUUCGUCACACACAAAAACCGGAUUUGAAAUUCAAUACAAAAUUGUCAGCGCAGGUUUGCCCACAACAGCAACAGACCUGCCAGAGUCUACUGAAGCUACACCAUCGUCUGAAAUAGUUAUUGAUAAUAACACGUCUCGAACCACUACAGACGACGGUAUCCUAGUUG